GAGUUUGAUCGUGGCUCAGAGUGAACGCUGGCGGUAGGCCUAACACAUGCAAGUCGAACGGCAGCACAGAGGAGCUUGCUCCUUGGGUGGCGAGUGGCGGACGGGUGAGGAAUACAUCGGAAUCUACUCUGUCGUGGGGGAUAACGUAGGGAAACUUACGCUAAUACCGCAUACGACCUACGGGUGAAAGCAGGGGAUCUUCGGACCUUGCGCGAUUGAAUGAGCCGAUGUCGGAUUAGCUAGUUGGCGGGGUAAAGGCCCACCAAGGCGACGAUCCGUAGCUGGUCUGAGAGGAUGAUCAGCCACACUGGAACUGAGACACGGUCCAGACUCCUACGGGAGGCAGCAGUGGGGAAUAUUGGACAAUGGGCGCAAGCCUGAUCCAGCCAUACCGCGUGGGUGAAGAAGGCCUCGGUUGUAA
rnacentral:rRNA from 1 species